rnacentral:rRNA from 1 species
GAUGAACGCUGGCGGCGUGCCUAAUACAUGCAAGUCGAGCGAACAGACGAGGAGCUUGCUCCUCUGACGUUAGCGGCGGACGGGUGAGUAACACGUGGAUAACCUACCUAUAAGACUGGGAUAACUUCGGGAAACCGGAGCUAAUACCGGAUAAUAUAUUGAACCGCAUGGUUCAAUAGUGAAAGACGGUUUUGCUGUCACUUAUAGAUGGAUCCGCGCCGCAUCAGCUAGUUGGUAAGGUAACGGCUUACCAAGGCGACGAUGCGUAGCCGACCUGAGAGGGUGAUCGGACACACUGGAACAGAGACACGAUCCAGACUCCUGCGUGAGGCAGCAGAAGGGAAUCUUCCGCAAUGGGCGAAAGCCUGACGGAGCAACGCCGCGUGAGUGAUGAAGGUCUUCGGAUCGUAAAACUCUGUUAUUAGGGAAGAACAAAUGUGUAAGUAACUAUGCACGUCUUGACGGUACCUAAUCAGAAAGCCACGGCUAACUACGUG